CAGCAGCAGCCGCGGUAAGACAGAGGAUGCAAGCGUUAUCCGGAAUGAUUGGGUGUAAAGCGUCUAUAGGUGGCUUUUCAAGUCUGCCGUCAAACCCCAGGGCUUAACCCUAGACAGGCGGUGGAAACUACCUAGCUGGAGUACGGUAGGGGCAGAGGGAAUUUCCGGUGGAGCAGUGAAAUGCGUUGAGAUCGGAAAGAACACCAACGGCGAAAGCACUCUACUGGGCCGACACUGACACUGAGAGACGAAAGCUAGGGGAGCAAAUGGGAUUAGAUACCCCAGUAGUCCCUGUCUCUUAUAA
rnacentral:rRNA from 1 species